GUUGCGUCACGGGUCAAUUUAAUCACGACUUAUGAGUGACAAUAUACUCGAUGUCGAAGGCAUUGUAACCCNNNNNNNNNNNNNNNNNAUUUGGUUGGUACAAAUCGAACGAUCUGCGGUAGCAUCAAUAAUGGCAUGGUGUGGAUGMAAGUUGAGCCAUGCCAGUAUGUUGUUGCUACUUUGUGAACCUUCCGGAGCUCAAAUUUYAUUUGUUGAUGAGAUUUGUCAAUUGGUGGGGUGAUGUCAGGUUGUUUGGGGAUCUCAGUUCAACUUUGAUCUUAGUUUUAUGCUUAACUGGUAUCUUCAUGAGGCCUGCACUAUCGGUCUGAUUCUAUGGCAUGUUGUUGUUUGAUUGCUGCCUUACGAUCGGAUUGCUUGUGUAACCGAUGACAUGAUUUGGCUUGUUAAUCUUAAAACUGUGGAUGACAAUUUGACGUUGUUUCGUUUGUUGAUGAAUGUUGAUGCCGGGGGUUUCUUGGUUGAACUUCUUCAUUGUUGAUGAUGACAUUCGUCUCRAGGUGAUGCGGUGUCAUGUUGCUCGUGUAUCCUCGUUUCUUGCUAUUGAGCUUAAAAACAUGUGGAUUAUCGGUUAACGACAUGGCAUCACUCCCUUGGUUGAUGAAAGUCGUCCAAUGAUGCGGUGGUUUGGUUUUUUGUACUCGCAUCGCUCGGUGCAUUCUGUGGUCAUUUUGGCUGUUGGCUGCUUGCCUGGCAAUUGAGCUUGGUGGGUGGCUACUGGUUGGGUGUCUACGGGGAUGUCUACCGUAAAGGUGCAUGAGUGGUGUUCGGUUUGUUACGGGUGGUUGGCUCUUUGCUUGCGCAACAACUACUACCCGGCAUACCUCUUCAGUCUUGUGUCAAUGCUUGUAUUGCAUUGAAUGAACGGCGGGUUUCCUGUGUUGCAUGCCUAAUUAAUGGUAUCGUUUGAUGAAUUGGUUUUCCCUUCGUCUUCCGUUGCUUAUGUAAUGUGAGAUGAACCUCGAAGCAGCCUUUGUGAUCCACUUUUUUGAUGCAUACGCAUUGAUUUUGUGGCCCAUUGAGUGUUGCUUGGUCUCAUGGAUAUGGAACCUUGUGUGGGCAUGGAAUCUUAAUGGUUCCUUGUUUGCCCAAGUUUAGCUUUUCUAAAACGAGUGUCU
rnacentral:misc_RNA from 1 species